GACGAACGCUGGCGGCGUGCCUAAUACAUGCCAGUAGAACGCACAGUUUAUACCGUAGCUUGCUACACCAUAGACUGUGAGUUGCGAACGGGUGAGUAACGCGUAGGUAACCUGCCUGGUAGCGGGGGAUAACUAUUGGAAACGAUAGCUAAUACCGCAUAAUAUUGAUUAUUGCAUGAUAAUUGAUUGAAAGAUGCUAUUGCAUCACUACCAGAUGGACCUGCGUUGUAUUAGCUAGUAGGUGAGGUAACGGCUCACCUAGGCGACGAUACAUAGCCGACCUGAGAGGGUGAUCGGCCACACUGGGACUGAGACACGGCCCAGACUCCUACGGGAGGCAGCAGUAGGGAAUCUUCGGCAAUGGACGAAAGUCUGACCGAGCAACGCCGCGGGAGUGAAGAAGGUUUUCGGAUCGGAAAGCUCGGUUGUAAGAGAAGAACGGGUGUGAGAGUGGAAAGUCCACACUGUGACGGUAUCUUACCAGAAAGGGACGGCUAACUACGUG
rnacentral:rRNA from 1 species